CAAAAAUGAGAAUCAAGAAGAGUUCAUCCCCGUUUCCUUUGCCACAAUCACUUCAUCAAAUAUCAUCAUUAUUGUCUUUCACUUGCAUGACCAAUGAUGUGAUGAUAAUAAAAGUGUAAGGUUGCCGUGGACUAAGCUAGAAUCUGCAUGGUAGUUUUAAACAAAGGAGAAGCGAUGAUAAAAUCGGCUCUUCAUUAGAUGAACAACAAAGCAUAGGAGAGCCACUCAUCAUUUUCAUUGUGGUCUUGCCCUUUGGCGACUCAUCAAAAAGGAAAAUAAAUUGAGAGAAACAUACCGAAUUAUUUUUGGAGUUUUUGUUUUUCUUAAG
rnacentral:lncRNA from 1 species